GACGAACGCUGGCGGCGUGCCUAAUACAUGCAAGUCGAGCGGACGGAUGGGAGCUUGCUCCCAGACCGUCAGCGGCGGACGGGUGAGUAACACGUGGGCAACCUGCCUGUAAGACUGGGAUAACUCCGGGAAACCGGGGCUAAUACCGGAUAACUCUUUCCCUCACAUGAGGGAAAGCUGAAAGAUGGCAUCUCGCUAUCACUUACAGAUGGGCCCGCGGCGCAUUAGCUAGUUGGUGAGGUAACGGCUCACCAAGGCGACGAUGCGUAGCCGACCUGAGAGGGUGAUCGGCCACACUGGGACUGAGACACGGCCCAGACUCCUACGGGAGGCAGCAGUAGGGAAUCUUCCGCAAUGGACGAAAGUCUGACGGAGCAACGCCGCGUGAGUGAUGAAGGUUUUCGGAUCGUAAAACUCUGUUGUCAGGGAAGAACAAGUACCGGAGUAACUGCCGGUACCUUGACGGUACCUGACCAGAAAGCCACGGCUAACUACGUG
rnacentral:rRNA from 1 species